AGCAGCCGCGGUAAUUCCAGCUCCAAUAGCGUAUAUUAAAGUUGUUGCAGUUAAAAAGCUCGUAGUUGAACUUCAGGCCUGGCUGGACGGUCCGCCCUCUGGGUGAGCACUGUCUGUGGUCGGGUCCUACCUUCUGGCGAAGCGGCAUGGCCUUAACCGGCCGUGGCGGGGAACCAGGACUUUUACUGUGAAAAAAUUAGAGUGUUCAAAGCAGGCACGCGCUUGAAUACAUUAGCAUGGAAUAAUGGAAUAGGACAAUGGUUCUAUUUGUUGGUUUCUAGGACCGUUGUAAUGAUUAAUAGGGAUAGUUGGGGGCAUUAGUAUUCAAUUGUCAGAGGUGAAAUUCUUGGAUUUAUUGAAGACUAACUACUGCGAAAGCAUUUGCCAAGGAUGUUUUCAUUAAUCAAGAACGAAAGUUAGGGGAUCGAAGACGAUCAGAUACCGUCGUAGUCUUAACCAUAAACUAUGCCGACUAGGAAUCGGGCGAUGUUGACAAAAUGACGCGCUCGGCA
rnacentral:rRNA from 1 species